UAAUAGAUGCUGUAGAUAUGUAUAAGAAUCUCCCAAAGUUGAAAAUAAAUAAUUUGCUUUUUUGUGUGCAAGUGACGAUGGUUACUCAAAUCUUGUCUGAACAACCAAAAGUUACUUUAGGAGGAACAUGCCUAGUGGUCAAUCUGAGAAGAUGUCUUAGACACACUGUUCGUUGCUUUCCGAGUGGAUGCACCAAAACGGCGUCGUAGAACCGAAUCAUCAAGGAUGGCAAUUGGGACUGGAGUUGCUAUGGCAAAUAGGGCUGCUGAUGCUGUGUUGGGUCCUCGUACCAUUCAGCAUCAAACUGCUGUAUCUCCUGUCUCAAACAGCAUUCCUUCUUUCUGGGCCUUGCGAUCUGCACUACAGAGCCUUCCGAGAUUGUUUGAACGGCAACGGGAGCGACAUCAGCAAAUGCCAGAUUUACGUGGACAUGCUUUCUGAAUGCAGGAGGAUUUCCGGUUAUCCGUCCGGUUCCUUGGUUUGACCUUAUUAUCUCCAUCCGAAUUUGUCCUUUUUUUAUUAAUUAAUAAAAUAAUUCCUAUGAUCAGUAUUAUCAUCUCAAGUUUCUACUUUAUUUAUUUAUUUAUUUAUCCAAUAAAUAGCUUCAAUGAAUUGGGCCUGUUUUAUUCUACCCGAAUUUGUAUUGGGCUUAUUGCAUUUCUUGUUGGGCCUUUUGAUACUUUCAAAUAAUGUCUCCUUUGGACCCACCCUUUUUGUAAUCGAAUGUU